GCAGCGAGGCGAACCGGGGGAACUGAAACAUCUAAGUACCCCGAGGAAAAGAAAUCAACCGAGAUUCCGAAAGUAGCGGCGAGCGAAAUUGGACUAGCCCUUAAGCUUUACACGCGUUAGACGAACGGUCUGGAAAGUCCGACGAUACAGGGUGAUAGUCCCGUAGUUGACGACGUGUGUUCAGUGAAAUCGAGUAGGGCGGGACACGUGAUAUCCUGUCUGAAUAUGGGGGGACCAUCCUCCAAGGCUAAAUACUACUGACUGACCGAUAGUGAACCAGUACCGUGAGGGAAAGGCGAAAAGAACCCCUGUGAGGGGAGUGAAAUAGAACCUGAAACCGUGUACGUACAAGCAGUAGGAGCAGGCUUGUCCUGUGACUGCGUACCUUUUGUAUAAUGGGUCAGCGACUUAUAUUCAGUGGCAAGGUUAACCAUCUAGGGGAGCCGUAGGGAAACCGAGUCUUAACUGGGCGUUCAGUCUCUGGAUAUAGACCCGAAACCAGGUGAUCUAGCCAUGGGCAGGUUGAAGGUUGAGUAACAUCAACUGGAGGACCGAACCGACUAAUGUUGAAAAAUUAGCGGAUGACUUGUGGCUAGGGGUGAAAGGCCAAUCAAACCUGGAGAUAGCUGGUUCUCCCCGAAAGCUAUUUAGGUAGCGCCUCGGACGAAUACUACUGGGGGUAGAGCACUGUUAAGGCUAGGGGGUCAUCCCGACUUACCAACCCUUUGCAAACUCCGAAUACCAGUAAGUACUAUCCGGGAGACACACGGCGGGUGCUAACGUCCGUCGUGGAGAGGGAAACAACCCAGACCGCCAGCUAAGGUCCCAAAUUACUACUAAGUGGGAAACGAUGUGGGAAGGCUCAGACAGCCAGGAUGUUGGCUUAGAAGCAGCCAUCAUUUAAAGAAAGCGUAAUAGCUCACUGGUCGAGUCGGCCUGCGCGGAAGAUGUAACGGGGCUAAGUAGU
rnacentral:rRNA from 1 species